rnacentral:rRNA from 1 species
UACGUAGGGGGCAAGCGUUGUCCGGAAUCAUUGGGCGUAAAGGGUGUGUAGGUGGCGCGCUAAGUCGGGUGUGAAAUUUCGGAGCUUAACUCCGAAACUGCAUUCGAUACUGGCGUGCUUGAGGACUGGAGAGGAGACUGGAAUUCAUGGUGUAGCAGUGAAAUGCGUAGAGAUCAUGAGGAAGACCAGUGGCGAAGGCGGGUCUCUGGACAGUUCCUGACACUGAGACACGAAGGCCAGGGGAGCAAACGGG